AGUGAACGCUGGCGGCAGGCCUAACACAUGCAAGUCGAGCGGCAGCGGGUCCUUCGGGAUGCCGGCGAGCGGCGGACGGGUGAGGAAUGCAUCGGAAUCUGCCCUGUCGUGGGGGAUAACCUAGGGAAACUUAGGCUAAUACCGCAUACGACCCACGGGUGAAAGCGGGGGAUCGCAAGACCUCGCGCGAUAGGAUGAGCCGAUGUCCGAUUAGCUAGUUGGCGGGGUAAAGGCCCACCAAGGCGACGAUCGGUAGCUGGUCUGAGAGGAUGAUCAGCCACACUGGGACUGAGACACGGCCCAGACUCCUACGGGAGGCAGCAGUGGGGAAUAUUGGACAAAGGGCGCAAGCCUGAUCCAGCCAUGCCGCGUGGGUGAAGAAGGCCUUCGGGUUGUAAAGCCCUUUUGUCCGGGAAGAAAUCGUCUGGGCUAAUACCCCGGGCGGAUGACGGUACCGGAAGAAUAAGCACCGGCUAACUUCGUG
rnacentral:rRNA from 1 species